rnacentral:rRNA from 1 species
AGAUUGAACGCUGGCGGAAUGCUUUGCACAUGCAAGUCGAACGGCAGCACGGGGUAACCCUGGUGGCGAGUGGCGAACGGGUGAGUAAUACAUCGGAACGUGCCCAGUCGUGGGGGAUAACGUAGCGAAAGCUACGCUAAUACCGCAUACGAACUCUGGUUGAAAGCGGGGGACUCGCAAGAGCCUCGCGCGAUUGGAGCGGCCGAUGGGCAGAUUUAGGUAGUUUGGGUGGGGUAAAAGGCUCACCGAAGCCUGCGAUCUGUAGCUGGUCUGAGAGGACCGACCAGCCCACACGUGGGACUGACGACCGACGGCCCAGACCUACCGUACGGGAGGCAGUCGAAGGUGGGGUAAUUUUUCGGGACAAGU